rnacentral:rRNA from 1 species
AUACGGAGGAUCCGAGCGUUAUCCGGAUUUAUUGGGUUUAAAGGGUGCGCAGGCGGCCAUUUAAGUCAGCGGUUAAAUCGUGGGGCUCAACCCCAUUCUGCCGUUGAUACUGGGUGGCUUGAUUGCGGUCGAGGUUGGCGGACUUCGUUGUGUAGCGGUGAAAUGCAUAGAUAUGACGAAGAACACCGAUUGCGUAGGCAGCUGACCAGAACGCAAAUGACGCUCAUGCACGAAAGUGCGGGGAUCGAACAGGAUUAGAUACCCUGGUAGUCCGCACAGUAAACGAUGAAUACUUGUUUUCGGCGAUAUAAUGUCGGAGGCAAAGCGAAAGCGAUAAGUAUUCCACCUGGGGAGUACGCCGGCAACGGUGAAACUCAAAUGAAUUGGCGGGG